AUGGCUCCCACAAAGAAGAAGGGUCAUUCUCCCAUCAAUGAGGUGGUGACCUGAGCAUACAAUCAACAUUCACAAGUGCAUCCAUGGAGUGGGCUUCAAGAAGCAUGCCCAUCAGGCACUCAAAGAGAUCUGGAAAUCUGUCAUGAGGGAGAGGGGAACUCCAGAACUGUGCACUGAUAGCAGGCUCAACAAAGCUGUCUGGGCCAAAGGAAUAAGGAAUGUGCCAUACCAUAUCCAUGUGUGGCUGUCGAGAAAACAUAAUAAGGAUGAAGAUCUACCAAAUGAGUUCUACACUUUGGUUACCUAUGCACCUGUUACCACUUUCAAAAAUCUACAGACAGUCAUUGUGGAUGAGAACUAA
rnacentral:lncRNA from 1 species